rnacentral:rRNA from 1 species
UACGGGGGGGGCAAGCGUUGUUCGGAAUUACUGGGCGUAAAGGGCUCGUAGGUGGCCAACUAAGUCAGACGUGAAAUCCCUCGGCUUAACCGGGGAACUGCGUCUGAUACCGGAUGGCUUGAGUUUGGGAGAGGGACGCGGAAUUCCAGGUGUAGCGGUGAAAUGCGCAGAUAUCAGGAGGAACACCAAUGGCGAAGGCAGCACUCUGGGACGUGACUGACGCUGAGACGCGAAAGCAUGGGGAGCAAACAGG